rnacentral:rRNA from 1 species
UACGGGGGGGGUAAGCGUUGUUCGGAAUUACUGGGCGUAAAGGGCUCGUAGGCGGCCAACUAAGUCGGACGUGAAAUCCCUCGGCUCAACCGGGGAACUGCGUCUGAUACUGGCGGGCUUGAAUUCGGGAGAGGGAUGUGGAAUUCCAGGUGUAGCGGUGAAAUGCGUAGAUAUCUGGAGGAACACCGGUGGCGAAGGCGGCAUCCUGGACCGACAUUGACGCUGAGGCGCGAAAGCCAGGGGAGCAAACGGG